rnacentral:rRNA from 1 species
UUUACGGAGAGUUUGAUCCUGGCUCAGGACGAACGCUGGCGGCGUGCUUAACACAUGCAAGUGGAGCGACGAACCGGGCUUCGGCCCGGGGCAAAGCCGCGAACGGGUGAGUAACACGUGGGUAACCUGCCCCGAUGACCGGGACAACCCGAGGAAACUCGGGCUAAUACCGGAUGCGCUCGGUUCACACCAGUGGGCCGAGCAAAGGUAGCUUCGGCCUCCGCAUCGGGAUGGGCCCGCGGCGCAUUAGCUUGUU